UUUAUCCAGUGGCUGAAAUUGUAAGGAGCCCAGAGCCAAGGCCAUCCUGGGCACCUGAUGUCAUUAUUGAAAGUCCAGAACAACCAAGCAAUAUAAGAAGCAAUGAAACACUAGAAGUGGAGCUGAUUGGUGAUCCUGAAGAACUACCUGAUGAUCCAACUGAACUUCUUGAAGAAUCUCAAGCGACAGGGUAAGUCAGAAAGAUUUGGACAACAGAAAGACUAAACGAAUUAAUAAAGGAGAAUUGCCCUCAUCUGGUGGAGUAAGCAGUCAACUGUUUGGGAAAUGAUUAAGAACACCUUGCAUGAAUUUGUCCUAACAACAGGUACACCUGUCAUGACAGCUGCUAUGCAAAUCCCUCCCAGAACACAAGGGAUCACAAGAACAUGGAGACGGCUAACUGGAAGAGAACAGCUUGUCUCCAAAAGGAGACAAAUGCAUCAGGAAAUGAGGCAAAAUUUUGAAUAGUUUAAGAACACAGAACAUAUAUAUAUAUAUAUAUAUAUAUAUAUAUAUAU
rnacentral:lncRNA from 1 species